GACGAGCCUCACAAACGUUAUUCGGAAUUACUGGGCUUAAAGGGUGCGUAGGCGGCGCGGAAAGUUGGGUGUGAAAUCCCUCGGCUUAACCGAGGAAUUGCGCUCAAAACUACCGUGCUCGAGGGAGAUAGAGGAAUGCGGAACUUACGGUGGAGCGGUGAAAUGCGUUGAUAUCGUAGGGAACACCGGUGGCGAAAGCGGCAUUCUGGAUCUCUUCUGACGCUGAUGCACGAAAGCUAGGGUAGCAAACGGG
rnacentral:rRNA from 1 species